rnacentral:rRNA from 1 species
UUUUAUGAGAGUUUGAUCCUGGCUCAGGACGAACGCUGGCGGCGUGCCUAAUACAUGCAAGUCGAACGCUUCUUUUUCCAACGGAGCUUGCUCCACCGGAAAAAGAAGAGUGGCGAACGGGUGAGUAACACGUGGGUAACCUGCCCAUCAGAAGGGGAUAACACUUGGAAACAGGUGCUAAUACCGUAUAACAAUCAAAACCGCAUGGUUUUGAUUUGAAAGGCGCUUUCGGGUGUCGCUGAUGGAUGGACCCGCGGUGCAUUAGCUAGUUGGUGAGGUAACGGCUCACCAAGGCCACGAUGCAUAGCCGACCUGAGAGGGUGAUCGGCCACAUUGGGACUGAGACACGGCCC